GGAGGCGUGAACACAACUCCUAUAGGCCAUGAGCACGUAGGGCAACAAUACAUCCCAAUUAGAUUGGUUGUCUUCUAUAAACAAUGCCAACAUGGACAAUAGGGUGCGAUUAAACCUCUCAACCAUCCCAUUAGAUUCAGGAUGGUAGGGAGAUGUUCGUGUCUUAUUUAUACAGAGCAGUUGACAAACCUCUUAAACAUGCAGUGUGGACUCGAAAUUUCUCCCUUGGUCAGAGUGGAUGCUACGGGGAGCCCCAAACCGACACACCCACUGCUCUAGGACCCGCGCCACCGACUUUGCUUCCUGAUUUGGCAGCGCAUAAGCUUCGGUCCAUUUGGAGAAGUAAUCACCCACUACAAGAAUGUAUUUAUUUUUAUUUGGAGUUUCAGGCAAGGGACCUAGUAUAUCCACGGCAAUGCGUUCUAGUGGUCAGCAUGUAGCGGAAGGAUUCAAGGGAGCCCUAGGAGCAGGCCCCAGGGUCUUACGAGAGGCACAGUCCUGGCAUGCUCUACAGAACUGUCGAACAUCCCCAAACCAUCCGGGCCAAUAAAAACGAUCUUUAACUUUAGCUUGCAGUUUUUGAAUUCCUAAGUGAGCCCCAAACACACUGCUAUGCAGCAUUUGCAGCGCCGCCUGCACCAUAGGAAGUACCACCUGCGUAGGCCUACCGGCUGCAUCAGAAUAUGUUGGUGGCACCCGGACCAAACGUUGCCCUGGUACUUGGAGUUGGUCCCAUAUAGAUAGCAAAUCAUUUUGGCUUUCCUUUGGCAUAAAUGUGGCCUCUUUGGGCUUUGUUUGGCACAGGAAAAGGCCACUCAAAGGUUUUUGGGCAACCUGUGGCUUAAUUAUGAUCUGCCUUAAUUCUGGCCAAGUUAUGGAUUACGUCUGGUUAGCCAGCCGACAAGGUGAUGAGCGGGACCGCAUCUCAUGACUUGCGCGUGCGUUCUUUGGGCGACCUAUGGCUUAAUUAUGAUUUGCCAUAAUAAAUAAAGGGCGCCAUGUAAUUCUGGCUAAGUUAUGGAUUACGUCUGGUUAACCAGCCGACAAUGUGAUGAGCGGGACCGCAUCUCAUGAUUCAUGGGUGAGCUUUGGCUGUAUCAUGGCUUGCCAAAAGAAUGCACAGAGACCGGGGAUUUUGAACAUUUGAGCCCAGAGAAGAGCCUCCAUCAGUUUGCCGUUGUGAUAACUGAAGCUCUUCUGCGUGACCUGUUGGUGAACCAACAAAUCCUGUUGGACCAGCAGAGGAGCAUGUGAUACAAAUAAUUCAAGACCUACACUAAUCCAUCAAGAUGUCCCCCACCUCCAGGCAUAUUGCCUAUUUUCCCCUGGGUGACACACAGGUUCUGGAGGCCUUGGAGGGUGACCUGGCAACCCAGCGGGACCUUCGUCAGGAAUUGGUCAUCACUAUAGGAUUGGCAGGGGGAGCCGAUGUCAAAGAUUUCUUUUUUU